AAGCGCUUGCAACCAGACUUGCAUGCGGUUGAUCAUCCGGUGUUCUCACCGGUGCACUUGACCGUGUACAGGCCAGCAUCGGUUCAGGUGGCGGGAUAAAGGCCUUGGGAAUGUAGCUUCUUUCGGGGAGUGUUAUAGCCCCGAGUGUCAUGCGGCCUUCCGGGACCGAGGAACGCGCUUCGGCUCGGAUGUUGGCGUAAUGGUUGUCAGCGA
rnacentral:rRNA from 1 species